rnacentral:misc_RNA from 1 species
UGAAGCCGCAGUCCGUAAACACUCGCCGUGCCCCCUCCCUCCCACACACGCACACACGCGCGUGCAUGCCCCUUUUCUCCUCCCCAGCCAGCUCACCUUCACUCUUUCUCGCGCCUCACCCCUUCAGCAAAGAUGAGCGUGAAGCACCUGCUGAUGGCCGCAGUGCUGGCAGCCGUCGCAUGCUCGGUGGUCAUGGCGUCGGAUGCCUCGAGCUUGUCGUCCCCAAGCGCCCCAGCUCGCGGAUCGAUCUCCCUUGCGACCAUGCGGACAGUGCCGUCCAGCAAGAGCAGCAGCAACUCGUCGAGUGCAACUGGCGCCAAUGAGACGGCGUCUACCACCUUCACCACAACGAACACCGUGAGCACAGCGGCAUCUUCGUGCGCCGUUUCGAACUGCGCCGCCUGCUCGAGCACGAACCCGAAUGUCUGCACGACGUGCAGUCCCGGCUACGCCGUCGACCGCCUUGGCCAGUGCAUGGUUGUCGGCUCCUGCAACGUCGCCCACUGCGUCACGUGCCACACAAACGACAACGCGCGUUGCUUGAGCUGCGCCUCGGGCUACAUGCCGACGGCCUCGUUCAAGUGCGUCCCGGAGCAAUCUAGAAAUGCGGCCUUCCGCACUUCCUCCCUGGUCGUCUCUGUCGGUGUGGCAUUGGUGGGCACUGCACUGACCAUGGCCUAAAAUACGGCAUGCCCCGAUUCAAAGACCUAGUAGCACACAUACCAGGAGAUGCCUGGCUGACGGCCUGUCAAGUGUCGGCAUCGACGGCUAUGUCCAGCCUCCACCCUGCUCCCCUCUUCUCUCUCUCCCACAUAUGCAUGCACAAAUGUUGAUGUCCUCACCUCUGUUUCUCUCCUCUCUCUCUCUGAGUGCUGUGUGUGUGUGUGUGUGUGUGUGUGUGUGUGUGUGUGUAACGUGCGUCCCGCCUCCCCUCCUCAGACAGUUUUUUUUUUAUCUUGUUCGGCCAAUGUGCAUAUUGUCGUCAUGCGCAGUGCCCCUCCCUCCCUUGAUCGCCCCUCCCUCUGUCUCUGUCUCGCGUCACCUCACUGAUCAACGCCUCCCUGCCUUGAGUCGCGUGUAUUCCCAACACAGCAUGCGCCGACGCAGAGACAGAGACAGAGGGAGGGGCGAGCAGGUGCGCUUAUGUCGUUUCUCUCCCGGCGCGCCGCGGUCGGCCCGUGGCUUGAGGAAAUCGAGAGGGGGGAAUGGGGACUGGCGAUACCAUUGUGGCCCAUGUGCACGUGCAUGUGUGCGUACGCGUGCGUGUGUGUGUGUGUUCUCUCUUCUCUUUGCUCUGGCCGAGUGGCCGGGUGGGCCUCUCUGUGCGUUGAAUCCGUUUUAUGUGCACAGCCCGUUUCUUUUCCGUUGUUAUUGUUGUUUUUCCCGAGGUGAGGCGUGGAUGGGGAUGGGGAUGCGGAGGAGGAGGGAGAGGAUCGUCAAUGGAGGUGACCGUUGGGUCCGCCCGCCCGCCCGUCCGUCCCUGCGUGUGCGCAGGGCGGAGGGCAUUCUCCUCACCGCCACCACCUCUCUCUCUCUGUGACUUGUGCCCCUCAUGGGGUCUUUUCUUUGGUUUUUGCCUAAGCAUAUACACGUGUGUGCCUGCGUGCGUACGCGUGCGUCUCCGCCAUUUCUACGCAUGGGCCUCUCCCCCACCCUCUUCCCUCCCCCUCCCCCUCCCUACCUGACUCUCUCAGGCAGGAGCACCAACAGUAGAGUCUGUAUCUGCCGCUGUGAUUGCGUGAUCGAGCGCUGCUAUCCCCCCACCCCCUCGCUCGCUCUCCCAGACAACCACGCAUACCAUCGGCCAUCCCUCUGUGCUGCCGUGUGUCUGUGUGUUUGUGUGUGCCGCUGCUCUCACACUGGAGAGGGCUGCUCGGCAGUGGUGGCAGCAAACUGCAAGCGGUGCUGAAGAAGACGAAGAUGUAAAGGGAGCGGAGAGGCGCGACACACAGGGCUAUGGAAGCAGGGCGGUCGUCACAAGGUCAGCACUGAUCCUGUGUAUGUGCGUGUUUGCGUCUGCCCGCGUCCCUGUGAGGGGGACAGAGAGGGGGCAUGAGGUGCGCCCAUGACAACGCAGAAAAUGACCUUGGAGAGCGCGAGCGAGGGAGCGGGCAGGUCCUUCGCGGUUUAUCAGGGAAGGCUCGAGCACGAUACGUAGGGCAGACGGAGGAGGGGGAAGGAAAACGUCAGAGAAGGAGGGAAGUCGGAUCGGGUGUCGUGGAGGCACACACACACACACACACGCGCACCACAGCCGCCUCUCUACCUCCGUCGCAUGUUGCUCCUUGGCUCUCUCAUCCGUCCAUCGCCG